rnacentral:rRNA from 1 species
UACGGGGGGGGCAAGCGUUGUUCGGAAUUACUGGGCGUAAAGGGCUCGUAGGCGGCCAACUAAGUCAGACGUGAAAUCCCUCGGCUUAACCGGGGAACUGCGUCUGAUACUGGAUGGCUUGAAUCCGGGAGAGGGAUGCGGAAUUCCACGUGUAGCAGUGAAAUGCGUAGAUAUGUGGAGGAACACCGAUGGCGAAGGCAGCCCCCUGGGCUAACACUGACGCUCAUGCACGAAAGCGUGGGGAGCAAACAGG